rnacentral:sRNA from 1 species
AGCAGCCGCGGUAAUUCCAGCUCCAAUAGCGUAUAUUAAAGUUGUUGCAGUUAAAAAGCUCGUAGUUGAAUUUCGGGAUCAAAGGAUCGGUCAUGCCUUGGUAUGUACUGGUUUUAUUGGUUCUCACCUUCUAAAGAACCAUAAUGUCAUUCAUUUGAUGUUAUGGGGAAUUAGGACUGUUACCUUGAAAAAAUUAGAGUGUUUAAAGCAGGCUUACGCUUGAAUACAUUAGCAUGGAAUAAUGAAAUAGGACAUCAGAUUCUAUUUUGUUGGUUUCUAGGAUCGAUGUAAUGAUUAAUAGGGAUAGUUGGGGGCAUUAGUAUUCAAUUGUCAGAGGUGAAAUUCUUGGAUUUAUUGAAGACUAACUACUGCGAAAGCAUUUGCCAAGGAUGUUUUCAUUAAUCAAGAACGAAAGUUAGGGGAUCGAAGACGAUCAGAUACCGUCGUAGUCUUAACCAUAAACUAUGCCGACUAGGGAUCGGAUGAUGUUAAUUUUAUAAUGACUCA